CUUGGAUGCCAGAAGCCAAGUCAGCCCUCUGGAGACACAGAUUGGCCUCCCAACAUCUACUCUGUGUUGUCAGCCAACUGCCUCCCAGGCUUAACUCAACCUGAUCAUCCAAACCAGCUGCCUUACAACAGAGAGCAGUUUCCCACUUUUGUCCAAGUGUGGUUUCUGAAUGUGGAAGAAUGUGACACUCUAAGCUUCUCAGACACAGCAAGAAGGUGGCUAUCUGUAAACCAGGAUGAAGGUCCUCACCAAGAACUGAAUCUGCUGGCACCUUCAUCUUCGUGGUCUUCCUAGUUUCCAGAAA